rnacentral:rRNA from 1 species
CGAAUCCCGGGGGCAACUCCGGGGGAAGUGGCGAAAGGGGCAGUAAGGCAUGGCUAACCUACCCCGGGGACGGGGAUAGCCUUCCUAACGGAAGGGUAAUACCCGGCGAUGCGGCGCGAGGGCCUCCUCGUGCCGUGAAACGAGUUUCGCCUCGGGAGGGGGUCAUGUGCUAUUAGCUUGUUGGCGGGGUAACGGCCCACCAAGGCGGAGAUGGCUAGCGGGUGUGAGAGCACGACCCGCGCCACUGGCACUGAGACACUGGCCAGACUCCUACGGGAGGCUGCAGUCGAGGAUCUUCGGCAAUGGGCGCAAGCCUGACCGAGCGACGCCGCGUGUGCGAUGAAGGCCUUCGGGUUGUAAAGCACUGUCGAGGGGGAGGAAAGCCCGCGAGGGCCUGACCUAUCCCUGGAGGAAGCACGGGCUAAGUUCGUGCCAGCAGCCGCGGUAAGACGAACCGUGCGAACGUUGUUCGGAUUCACUGGGCUUAAAGGGCGCGUAGGCGGCUUGCCAAGUCAGGGGUGAAAUCUUUCGGCUCAACCGGGAAACGGCUUCUGAUACUGGC